rnacentral:lncRNA from 1 species
AAUAUGUUGUUAUCGACAUGCAAUAUCCAAGUUUAAAUAUAGGAAUGUUGCAAAAUUAAUGUUGCAUGAUGUAUUAUGUUUUUUUCUAUGGUUGGUCGGAAUUUAUAUAAAUAUUUAUACUUAUUUACUUUAUUACAAUGGUUUAAUUUGUAUUUUAAUUUAUGUUAGACAAAUUCGCAUUUAGGAAUGAAUGAUGACG